GCUUAUCACCAUUCCAGAUUGAAUAUACCCGAUCUCGUCUGAUCUCGGAAGUCAAGCAAUCUCGGUCUUGGUUAGUACUUGGAUGGGUGACCGCUUGGGAAUACCAAGUGUGAUAAGCA
rfam:Ciona savignyi cont_37841, whole genome shotgun sequence.